GAUGAACGCUGGCGGCGUGCCUAAUACAUGCAAGUCGAGCGGUAAGGCUCCUGCAGAUUGUUCGAUGAUAUACUGACAAGGGAAGGCUCCCGAGUUUGAUCGAAUAAUGUGCUGGAGUACACGAGCGGCGGACGGCUGAGUAACACGUAGGAACGUACCCCAAACUGAGGGAUAAGCACCAGAAAUGGUGUCUAAUACCGCAUGUGCUCUUCGGAGUAAAGCUACGGCGGUUUGGGAACGGCCUGCGUAAGAUUAGCUAGUUGGUGAGGUAAUAGCUCACCAAGGCGACGAUCUUUAGCUGGUCUGAGAGGAUGAUCAGCCAGACUGGGACUGAGAACGGCCCAGACUCCUACGGGAGGCAGCAGUAGGGAAUUUUCCACAAUGGACGCAAGUCUGAUGGAGCAACGCCGCGUGCAGGAUGAAUGUCUUCGGAUUGUAAACUGCUUUUCUCUGUGACGAAUAUGACGGUAGCAGAGGAAUAAGGACCUGCUAACUACGUGCCAGCAGCCGCGGUCAUACGUAGGGUCCAAGCGUUAUCCGGAAUUACUGGGCGUAAAGAGUUGCGUAGGUGGCAAGUUAAGCGAAUAGUGAAAUGACGAGGCUCAACCUCGUGUCCAUUAUUUGAACUGGCUAGCUAGAGA
rnacentral:rRNA from 1 species